UACGUAGGGUGCAAGCGUUAAUCGGAAUUACUGGGCGUAAAGCGUGCGCAGGCGGUUUUGUAAGUCCGAUGUGAAAUCCCCGGGCUUAACCUGGGAACUGCGUUUGAAACUACAAGGCUAGAGUGUGGCAGAGGGGGGUGGAAUUCCACGUGUAGCAGUGAAGUGCGUAGAUAUCUGGAGGAACACCGGUGGCGAAGGCGGCGUCCUGGACCAACACUGACACUGAUGAGCGAAAGCCAGGGGAGCAAACGGG
rnacentral:rRNA from 1 species